AGAGUUUGAUCCUGGCUCAGGAUGAACGCUAGCGGCAGGCUUAACACAUGCAAGUCGAAGGGCAGCGGGGAGUGUGCUUGCACUCUCCGCCGGCGACUGGCGCACGGGUGAGUAACACGUAUGCAACCUGCCCUCCACAGGGGGACAACCUCCCGAAAGGGAGGCUAAUCCCGCGUAAAUCGGGAGACCGCAUGGUCUUCUGAGGAAAGCUCCGGCGGUGGAGGAUGGGCAUGCGGCGCAUUAGCUUGUCGGUGGGGUAACGGCCCACCGAGGCGACGAUGCGUAGGGGUUCUGAGAGGAAGGUCCCCCACACUGGUACUGAGACACGGACCAGACUCCUACGGGAGGCAGCAGUGAGGAAUAUUGGUCAAUGGCCGAGGGGCUGAACCAGCCAAGCCGCGUGAAGGAAUAAGGCCCUAUGGGUCGUAAACUUCUUUAGUCAGGGAACAAAGGGAGCCACGCGUGGCUCUGUGAGUGUACCUGAAGAAUAAGCAUCGGCUAACUCCGUGCCAGCAGCCGCGGUAAUACGGAGGAUGCGAGCGUUAUCCGGAUUUAUUGGGUUUAAAGGGUGCGUAGGCGGUUUGUCAAGUCAGCGGUAAAAAUUCCGGGCUCAACCCGGUCCCGCCGUUGAAACUGGCGAACUCGAGAGGGAGAGAAGUAGGCGGAAUGCGCAGUGUAGCGGUGAAAUGCAUAGAUAUUGCGCAGAACUCCGAUUGCGAAGGCAGCCUACCGGCUCCUGUCUGACGCUGAGGCACGAAAGCGUGGGUAUCGAACAGGAUUAGAUACCCUGGUAGUCCACGCAGUAAACGAUGAAUGCCGGCUGCCCGGGCCGAAUGGGGCCUGGGUGGCGAAGCGAAAGCGAUAAGCAUUCCACCUGGGGAGUACGCCGGCAACGGUGAAACUCAAAGGAAUUGACGGGGGCCCGCACAAGCGGAGGAACAUGUGGUUUAAUUCGAUGAUACGCGAGGAACCUUACCCGGGCUCAAACGGCGGAUGACAGGCGCAGAGACGUGCUUUUCUACGGACAUCCGCCGAGGUGCUGCAUGGUUGUCGUCAGCUCGUGCCGUGAGGUGUCGGCUUAAGUGCCAUAACGAGCGCAACCCCUGCCGACAGUUGCUAACAGGUUAUGCUGAGGACUCUGUCGGGACUGCCGGCGCAAGCCGUGAGGAAGGCGGGGAUGACGUCAAAUCAGCACGGCCCUUACGUCCGGGGCGACACACGUGUUACAAUGGGUGGCACAGAGGGAAGCCAGGCGGCGACGCCGAGCGGAACCCGAAAUCCACUCUCAGUUCGGAUCGGAGUCUGCAACCCGACUCCGUGAAGCUGGAUUCGCUAGUAAUCGCGCAUCAGCCAUGGCGCGGUGAAUACGAACGCCGGGCCCUUGUACACACCGCCCGUCA
rnacentral:rRNA from 1 species